AGGUAAGCUACUAAGAGCGAAUGGUGGAUGCCUUGACUGGUAAAGGCGAUGAAGGACGUACUAGACUGCGAUAAGCUACGGGGAGCUGUCAAGAAGCUUUGAUCCGUAGAUUUCCGAAUGGGUCAACCCAAUGUAUAGAGAUAUACAUUACCUAUAUAGGAGCGAACGAGGGGAAUUGAAACAUCUUAGUACCCUCAGGAAAAGAAAUCAAUAGAGAUUGCGUCAGUAGCGGCGAGCGAAAGCGCAAGAGGGCAAACCCAGUGCUUGCACUGGGGGUUGUAGGACUGCAAUGUGCAAGAGGUAAGUUUAGCAGAACAUUCUGGAAAGUAUAACCAUAGAGGGUGAUAGUCCCGUAUGCGAAAAACAAACCUUAGCUAGCAGUAUCCUGAGUAGGGCGGGACACGAGGAAUCCUGUCUGAAUCCGGGUCGACCACGAUCCAACCCUAAAUACUAAUACCAGAUCGAUAGUGCACAAGUACCGUGAGGGAAAGGUGAAAAGAACUGAGGUGAUCAGAGUGAAAUAGAACCUGAAACCAUUUGCUUACAAUCAUUCAGAGCCCUAUGUAGCAAUACAGGGUGAUGGACUGCCUUUUGCAUAAUGAGCCUGCGAGUUGUGGUGUCUGGCAAGGUUAAGCAAACGCGAAGCCGUAGCGAAAGCGAGUCUGAAUAGGGCGCUUAGUCAGAUGCUGCAGACCCGAAACGAAGUGAUCUAUCCAUGAGCAAGUUGAAGCUAGUGUAAGAACUAGUGGAGGACUGAACCCAUAGGCGUUGAAAAGCCCCGGGAUGACUUGUGGAUAGGGGUGAAAGGCCAAUCAAACUUCGUGAUAGCUGGUUCUCUCCGAAAUAUAUUUAGGUAUAGCGUUGUGUCGUAAUAUAAGGGGGUAGAGCACUGAAUGGGCUAGGGCAUACACCAAUGUACCAAACCCUAUCAAACUCCGAAUACCUUAUAUGUAAUCACAGCAGUCAGGCGGCGAGUGAUAAAAUCCGUCGUCAAGAGGGAAACAACCCAGACUACCAGCUAAGGUCCCUAAAUCUUACUUAAGUGGAAAACGAUGUGAAGUUACUUAAACAACCAGGAGGUUGGCUUAGAAGCAGCCAUCCUUUAAAGAAAGCGUAAUAGCUCACUGGUCUAGUGAUUUUGCGCGGAAAAUAUAACGGGGCUAAAGUAAGUACCGAAGCUGUAGACUUAGUUUACUAAGUGGUAGGAGAGCGUUCUAUUUGCGUCGAAGGUAUACCGGUAAGGAGUGCUGGAGCGAAUAGAAGUGAGCAUGCAGGCAUGAGUAGCGAUAAUUAAUGUGAGAAUCAUUAACGCCGUAAACCCAAGGUUUCCUACGCGAUGCUCGUCAUCGUAGGGUUAGUCGGGUCCUAAGUCGAGUCCGAAAGGGGUAGACGAUGGCAAAUUGGUUAAUAUUCCAAUACCAACAUUAGUGUGCGAUGGAAGGACGCUUAGGGCUAAGGGGGCUAGCGGAUGGAAGUGCUAGUCUAAGGUCGUAGGAGGUUGUACAGG
rnacentral:rRNA from 1 species